rnacentral:rRNA from 1 species
UACGGAGGGUGCGAGCGUUGUCCGGAAUCACUGGGCGUGAAGGGCGCGUAGGCGGCGCGGGCAGUCAACGGUGAAAGCUUGGGGCUCAACCCCGAGUCGGCCGUCGAUACUCCCGGGCUGGAGCACUGUAGAGGCAGGUGGAAUUCCGGGUGUAGCGGUGGAAUGCGUAGAGAUCCGGAAGAACACCGGUGGCGAAGGCGGCCUGCUGGGCAGUAGCUGAUGCUGAGGCGCGACAGCGUGGGGAGCAAACAGG